CCUACGGGUGGCAGCAGUGGGGAAUAUUGGACAAUGGGCGAAAGCCUGAUCCAGCCAUGCCGCGUGUGUGAAGAAGGCCUUCGGGUUGUAAAGCACUUUCAGUGGGGAAGAAAGCCUUGGGGCUAAUACCCUCGAGGAAGGACAUCACCCACAGAAGAAGCACCGGCUAACUCCGUGCCAGCAGCCGCGGUAAUACGGAGGGUGCGAGCGUUAAUCGGAAUUACUGGGCGUAAAGCGCGCGUAGGCGGUCUGAUAAGCCGGUUGUGAAAGCCCCGGGCUCAACCUGGGAACGGCAUCCGGAACUGUCAGGCUAGAGUGCAGGAGAGGAAGGUAGAAUUCCCGGUGUGGCGGUGAAAUGCGUAGAGAUCGGGAGGAAUACCAGUGGCGAAGGCGGCCUUCUGGACUGACACUGACGCUGAGGUGCGAAAGCGUGGGUAGCAAACAGGAUUAGAUACCCGUGUAGUC
rnacentral:rRNA from 1 species